AGCGAAAUGCGAUAAGUAAUGUGAAUUGCAGAAUUCAGUGAAUCAUCGAAUCUUUGAACGCACAUUGCGCCCAUUAGUAUUCUAGUGGGCAUGCCUGUUCGAGCGUCAUUUCAACCCUUAAGCCUAGCUUAGUGUUGGGAGACUGCCUAAUACGCAGCU
rnacentral:rRNA from 2 species